CAUGCAGCGAAGGAACUGAAGAAUUGUGGGACUGUAUUUGGGCGGAAAAUGGGUGUGGUAUGGAAACACAGAAAUGGCACGAGUUCAACAUGAAACAUGGAUUAGAAUUUUAGCGGGGGUUCAAGUCAAGUCUGGAAGUGUUACAGGAUGGAAGAGUGAGCCUGUAGUUGAAAAAACACUGAGAGUGCAUUACCAUUAAGGUGUGAGGUAAAGUAAUAGAGUAAUGCAAAUUGUCUAAUGAGAAGUACCACCUUGUGUUAAUGAAUCCGUUACAACAGCAAUCCUUUAUAGUUCUGACAGAAGAAUAUGCUCGCAAUCAACUCACGAAUCAUGUAAGAUGAACAAUAAAUUUUGAUCUGAAAAGGUUUCUUGUUUGGGGCAAGGUCAUGAAUUAAUUUUUACGUUUGGAUACACUACAUGGAAGUUCUACACUUAAUUCAUAUUCCCCAAACGG